AGUUUUUAAAUCAUUAUUAUUGAGUGCAUUAAUGCUUGGGAAGAAUAUAUGGCUCCCAGCCCACUGGCCGCCUGAUUUGGCUUACUAAGGCUCUGUUCACACUAGCAUCAUAGUUUCCAUUUGCAAAUGGCCGUUUCAAGUGAAUAUUAAUGUACUCAAUGGGUAUAGAGAGGCAAACUUCUUUGUUUGAACACAACUGCUUUGUGUUCACCAUGGGCAGGAUGUCACAGCACUACUAGAACUUGGUUCCACAGUUAAAACUAUGGGGGUCAUUUAUAAAUCUGAAAUACGCCUAAAUUAGGAGUAUUUCAGGAGCUGAUGCAAUCUUCGACUUUUCCCCAAGUCUAAAAUUGUGGGCAUGGUGUAGCCGGGGAAGAGGAUGGGUCGGCAGUCCUGUCUCUUUCAUCAUUUGUUUAGGCUACUUUCACACCUGCGUUCCGAGCGGGUCCGU